AAAAUGUGGCACCAACUAUCCUCCUCUCACGAAAAUCUGAGUCCCCCUUCAAGUUGUCGUUUGAAAUUGAAUAUGAAAUUAUACUGAUCGCAGGGAAGUUGUUUCUUCCCCAUCCAUCCGUUGCUUGUGAUUGUGAGACUUCAAUACCAUCGUUGAUUCUACUGAUGGAGUUUAGUUCAACAAUUUUGUCUUAUGUUUUGUGGGUUUGAGUUUAUACUGGACCAGAUAGAUUGCACUCUUUUUUUCUUUUCAAGGUUUUGUUCCACUGAAUUUUUCCUGUGCAAGUUGUUUAAUGAGGCAAUCUUUGAUAAAGAUUCGUUUUGUA
rnacentral:lncRNA from 1 species